UGCAUGAAGUCGGAAUUGCUAGUAAUCGCGGAUCAGCAUGCCGCGGUGAACACGUUCCCGGGCCUUGUACACACCGCCCGUCACACCAUGGGAGCCGGUAAUACCCGAAGUCAGUAGUCCAACCUCGUGAGGACGCUGCCGAAGGUAGGAUUGGCGACUGGGGUGAAGUCGUAACAAGGUACC
rnacentral:rRNA from 1 species